GGUACAUAUAUGAAUCCUUUCUCAAGUUUUCAACAGUCUAGUCACCUUUAUGCUCUAACAGUAGAAUGAGAGGUGAAGGUUAAAGGUCAAAUCAGUGCCUUACAUACUCUAUAAUGUUUCAAACUUUUGUUGCACACAGGACAAUGGGACCUCAGGUGAAGAGAACAGGGUGCCUGAACCAGAAGAAAAGAAUCGAUUAAAGCUGAAGCCCACACUGCAGCGCGGGAGCAGUUCUGCCUCUCUGCACAACAGCACCAUGAGGAACACCAUCUUCCAGCUGAUGAUUCACACACUGGAUCCUCUUGGAGAGGGUGACGAUCAAAGGGAGCAGUCCAAGGAUUCCAAAGAUGCUGCUCCAGGAGCCAAGGAAGAAGACGCUAGUCAAAAGCCUGAGGCGCAAAAGGUGGGCCUAUUGCAUCUCGAAAAAAUUUGGGAAGAAGAAGGAGGAGCUCUGAGACACUUGUGUGCUUUUAAUGAACUUAUCAAUUAUUUACCCUGUUGCAAAGCUGACAGAGGCGAUCUGUCAUACAUAGUAUGUGAUUCAUAUUUACAUGACGUAGUCUGUCAUCAUUUACUCACCCUCAUGUCAUGA
rnacentral:lncRNA from 1 species